rnacentral:rRNA from 1 species
AGCGAACGCUGGCGGCAGGCCUAACACAUGCAAGUCGAACGAACCCUUCGGGGUUAGUGGCGGACGGGUGAGUAACACGUGGGAACGUGCCUUUAGGUUCGGAAUAACUCAGGGAAACUUGUGCUAAUACCGAAUGUGCCCUUCGGGGGACAGAUUUAUCGCCUUUAGAGCGGCCCGCGUCUGAUUAGCUAGUUGGUGAGGGAAAGGCUCACCAAGGCUACGAUCAGUAGCUGGUCUGAGAGGAUGACCAGCCACAUUGGGACUGAGACACGGCCCAAACUCCUACGGGAGGCAGCAGUGGGGAAUCUUGCGCAAUGGGCGAAAGCCUGACGCAGCCAUGCCGCGUGGAUGAUGAAGGUCUUAGGAUUGUAAAAUCCUUUCACCGGUGAAGAUAAUGACUGUAGCCGGAGAAGAAGCCCCGGCUAACUUCGUGCCAGCCGCCGCGGUAACAC